ensembl:lncRNA
UGUCUUGAAGUGAUUGGUGGAAACCUCCAUGAGGACUGAAUUAUCCAUGGACGAGACACAGACAUUUACAAAUGGAGACUUUCAUCCAGAAAUCAGGCCCAUCUACCAAGAUAAAUCAGAACCCAGUUGUGUGUCCAUGAAGAGUGAGCGGUCAAUGGGAUGCCCUCCAAAAUUUAAUGGUGGAAUCUUUCCUCCUGGUUACAGCAUCCAAAUUGCUUGCUUUUCUCUCAAAGUCAGCUCCCUCGUCUUCAUCCUAGUUUUUGUGUGUCGUCAUGCAAGAGUUAGAAUGCAGAAGCAAUGGAUAUCACUGAUACGACACAUUCCCUGCUUUUAAUAUCUGAAGAAUGAAUUCAACAGGACACAGCUGAUCACUUAGAAAGACCUGUGAGGCAACUGUUCCAAUACUUAUGCUCACAUCAGAUAGAGGGAUUAAACUCUAAAAGUGCUGAUCUUCUUAGUUGGUAAAACAUCUGUGUUGAAUCACCCAAUAAUAAAAUGAGACAUUCUGUAGUUUUCUCUCA